rnacentral:rRNA from 1 species
CCCUUAGAUGUUCUGGGCUGCACGCGUGCUACAAUGGCGUUUCCAGCAAGUCUGCGAACCCGAGAGGGCCAGCGGAUCUUCGAAUUGGCGUCGUGAUCGGGACAGUCGAUUGCAAUUAUUUGACUCAAACGAGGAAUUCCUUGUAAUCGCGAUUCAUCAUAUCGCGCUGAAUACGUCCCUGCCCUUUGUACACACCGCCCGUCGCUCCUACCGAUUGAGCGAUCCGGUAAAUGUUCUGGAUUGGUGCCGGGGCGGCUAGCUGCCGGUCGCUACGAAAUUUUGUGAACCUUAUCGCUUAGAGGAAGGAAAAGUCGUAACA